GAUAGCACAGUUGUGUAACUACAACAUCCAUAAACCAGUGUGCUCCAUAUGACAUAGUUAAUGUUUGUAAGGCAUCUAUUGAUGGGGGAAAAAGUCAAGUUGAUAUUUGAUAGUUAAUGUAGUGACCUGAUUUAACAGAGGCUUCAUAACCAACUGACUACUAUGGAGGAGAGCAAUCUACUGAGAGAUGAACAUUAUAAUACUCAUUUUGAUCCUGAUACGUUUAUUAACUCGUAUUAUACUGUUUUAGACGAUACAAUCGAGGAUGGAUUAACACCCUUUGUAUUAAAGGGUCUACACGAUGUCUUUAAAACAGGUAAUGUGAAGGGUACACGACUACUGGACAUUGGAACUGGUCCUGUUCCACAUUCUGUAAUUCCUGCAGUUCCGUUUGUUCAAGAUAUAUACCUAACAGACUUCUCAACGGUUAAUAGAAAAUAUCUGUAUGAUGCUUUGUUUGGAUCUGGUGAACAAGAGUAUUCCAGUAUUUUUAAAUUUUUGGCAAAGUUAAGCGAUAAAAGUCAACCCUGGUCAAAACCUUCUGAUGACUUCAAAGGCAAAGUCUGUGGAAUAUUUCCUUGUGAUCUGUUAAAAGAUGAUAUAUUUGGAACGAGUUACUUCCCCUUGUUUGAUGUCAUCACAACAAGUUUGUGUAUGGAAGUUGCUGCUCCAGAUGUAGGCACGUACGGAACGAUUGCCAAGAAAAUAUCCAAAUAUCUUAAAGUUGGUGGACAUUUGGUUAUUGUUGGUGUACUGGCCGAAAACUAUUAUUUUGUCGGGGAAUAUAAAUUCUUUAACUUAGCUAUUACAGAAGAUGAAGUGAAAUCAUGUUGGGAAGGUGCUGGGUUUUCAAUACACAGCUGGAAUCUUAUGAAACGACCAGACCCAAGUCAAUACUCUGAUUUUGGUGGCGCUUUUGUUAUGCAUUGUUUUAAGGAAUUUUAAUUGGUAAGCAUCAAUCUGAUUAAAUAACAGAUCCUAUUUUGUUUCGUUUUUUUAUACAUGUAGUUCAAAAUUUCUUGUCUUUACUACACUUAGAUCUGGAAGUUGUGUUAUAUUACCGACGUUAUGGUUUCGAUUCCCCGGUUGUACGUGACAAGGUGUAAGGUCGCCUGUCCAACCUCUGGUUUCCCCCCACUGCUAAAGACCCCUAUGCCCAAGCGUAUUAUUGAAAUAAAAUUGAACCAUAUGUUAGUCCCGGAAUGACCUAGUUUGUGUCGAGUGGACGUUAAGCCCCAUUUCUCUCUCUCUCUGCCUCCUACUCUAGAAUACCCACAAGAAUAUUCAUUAAUAUAUUAUGUUUUUAUUGAAUAAGAAUUAAAAGAUAAACACAUAAUUUUAAAAACUUUUAUAUAUCAUGCUAGAUCUACAUAAAAUAUUUAU